rfam:Anaerostipes hadrus draft genome.
UUAUUCAUAGGGCAAACCUGUUGAAAGACAGGGACGCAAAGCCAGAAGGGUCUAAGGUCUUAUUGGACUAUGACAGCCGGUUGCCACA